AGAAGGAGAUGUCGGGGAACUGGUUGGCCAGGCACAGGAGGAUCUUGCGCACGGCCCCCUCGCCGCGUGCAUUCAGGCAGUAGCUGGGCACCUGCGUGUUGUCCACGAACUCGGGCAGCGGCAGGCAGCUGCUGCUGUGCUUGCCCACGAUCUUGCCCACGAUGUCGCUGUACACGCUGGCGUCAGGCGUGACCGUGCGGCAGGGAAUGUCCCGGAUCAGGCGCUGGUACACCUUUCCCCGCAGGGCGUGGCUUUGGGCCCAGUAGCCCUGGCGCGCCAGCUGCUUCAGUUCCUGCAGUUCAGUGCAGCUCAGCUCCUUGGACCAUGUUGGUCAGGCUGGUCUCAAACUCCUGACCUUGUGAUGUGCCUGCCUUGGCCUCCCAAAGUGUGGGAUUACAGACGAGAGCCACCGCCCUGGCCUAAUUUUUUAUUUUUUUGUAGAGACAGGGUCUCGCUAUGCUCUCCAGGCUGGUCUUGAACUCCUGGGCUCAAGCAAUCCUCCUGUCUUGGCCUCCCAAAAUGUUGGGAUUACAGGCAUGAGCCACUGUGCCCGGCCUUGUUUUGUUUUGUUUGAGACAAGGUCUUGUGCUGACAUCCAGGCUAGAGUGCAAUGGCACCAUCUCGGCACACUGCAACUUCUGCCUCCUGGGCUCAGGUGAUCCUCCCACCUCAGCUAUAGCUGAGACUACAGUUAGGCGCCACCACGCCCAGCUAAUUUUUUCUCUUUUUAGUAGAGACGAGAUUUUGCCAUGUUACCCAGACUGGUCUUAAACUCCUGAUCUCAAGCAAUCCACCCACCACAGCCUCCCAAAGUGCUGGGAUUACAAGUGUGAGCCAGUGCUCCUGGCCUGUUUUUUUGUUUAUUAUUAUUAUUAUUAUUUAUUUUGUGUGUGUGUGUGUGUGUGUGUGUGUGUGUGAUGGGGUCUUGUUCUGUCACCCAGGUUGGCCUUGAACCGCAGGCCUCAAGUGAUCUUCCCACCAUGCUGGAAUUACGAGUGAGAGUCACGUUGCGCAGCCACAUUAUUUGCCUUAAUCUUUGUGUAAGUAUUAGAAGGGCUUCCACUUAAGAUAAGUGACUUUUGAGAAGCCGUUACAAACUUUGGAGUAUACCUUCUUUUCACAGAACUUAUGAAGUUACUGGAAUACAUCACACAGAUUCUGAGUAAUGAGAGGCUAGAGAUAGAGUUCCCAGAAGGGCUUCAAGAGCUUGGCCCUUGGCUGGGCACAGUGGCUCAUAUCUAUAAUCUCAGCUACUCAGGAGGCCAAGGUGGGAGGACUAGUUGAGGCCAGGAGUUCAAGACCAGCCUGGGCAACAUGGUGAGACCCCAUCUCUACCAAAAAAAGAGGCUGACCCUGCUGAAAACACCUUUCCACUCGAGCAUGGUCCACUCCAGGCUCCUAAACACCACCCUGCACCCUGGGGGCCUUCUGAAAAGGAACCCCCAGUUGAGAAGAUCACUUUGAGCAAAGAGAUGCUUCGUUCUAGUUCUCCCUUUUUUUUUUUUUUUGAGACAGAGUCUUGCACUGUCGCACGGGCUGGAGUGCAGUGGCGUAAUCUCGGCUCACUGCAACUUCCGCCUCCCGGGCUCAAGUGAUUCUCCUGCCUCAGCCUCCUGAGUAGCUGGGACUACAGGCACCCGCCACCACACCCAGCCAGUUUUUGUAUUUUUAGUAGAGAUGGGGUUUCACCAUGUUGGCCAGGCUGGUCUCGAACUCCUGAUCUCGUGAUCCACCCACCUCGGCCUCCCAAAGUGUUGGGAUUACAGGCGUGAGCCACCACGCCCAGCCCGUUCCCAGUUCUCUUUAACCAGCUGUGUGUGCUAAGAAAGUCACAGCCUAUGCU
rnacentral:lncRNA from 1 species